CCCUACGGGGCGCAGCAGGCGCGAAAACUUCACACUGUGCGAAAGCACGAUGAGGGAAUCCCAAGUGCUGGCUCGUAAGAGUCAGCUGUUUUUCUGUCUAGAAAACAGAGAGAGUAAGAGCUGGGUAAGACGGGUGCCAGCCGCCGCGGUAAUACCUGCAGCUCAAGUGGUGGCCGCUAUUAUUGGGCCUAAAACGUUCGUAGCCGGUCUAGUAAAUGCCUGGGYAAAUCAUACGGCUUAACCGUACGAAUUCCGGGUAGACUGCUGGACUUGGGACUGGGAGAGGCUAGAGGUACUCCUGGGGUAGAGGUGAAAUCCUGUAAUCC
rnacentral:rRNA from 1 species